GCAUCCAUGGCUGAGUGGUUAAAGCGCCCAACUCAUAAUUGGCGAUGUCGUAGGUUCAAUUCCUACUGGAUGAA
rnacentral:tRNA from 1 species